rnacentral:lncRNA from 1 species
AUGAAACUCCUUCACCACAAAAAUUACCUGAAAAUUACAGCGAGAAGAUCUGAGGGGCCCCAAAAUACCACCAAACUAUUAUGGGUGAAUUGCACGUUGCCCUUUAUGAGAAUGCAUCCUUCAGAGCAGAAAAUAAAAUUAAGAAAAUCUAAAAUUUUAAAAGAGGACAAAAGCUCACUGUUCCUGGAGUGUUGUGAGAAAGCACCAGAAGCUGAGCUGAUGUUGGAACUAUACUGCCAAAGGAAGCAUAUUGCCUUCCCUUGGCAGCUGUACUGUACUACUGCAGUUUCUGGUAGCCUGUUUGUGACACGCGCUGGCAGCAACAACAUUAGAACUGUUCUCCUUGAAUGACCAUCUCAGGAAUACCUAUUAACUCGCACCUACAAACAAGUUUUAUUAAUGUCCAAAAGCAACCAUUCACAAACCAAGAAAAUCAGAAAUGCACGUUUGCAUUUUAGUUGUCUGAUUCCAAGGAUGCUUUACCCUGAGUGAGUAACAUUAAUAGAAUUAUAUAUGUCUGAUUUGCAUAUAACUUUUUUUUUCCCAUCUAUACCAUUUCUAUUGCACUGGAGAAUUACUUACCUCAAUUUUAUCUCCAAUUUUGGCUUCUGAUCCUUUCCUCCCAUCCUUGCCACUUUUCCUUUUCUAGAAACUUUCAUAUUCUCUUUUUCCUGUAUGUCUUCUGUUACUCUCUAAUCAUAGACUAUUUAUCUACUAUAAUCUUGAAGAAAAAUUCCCCUUUUCAUUCCUCAUUCUUUCAUGAAGGAUAUAUUCUUCCUUGUUUCUUACAAAGGGGUGGGACCCAGAUUUUCAAAACAGGUGUUCAGGCUCUUCCAAAGAAGCUUAGAAGAACAAAAGGUCAAAUUCA